UAAUUUUAAAAAGGAAAUGUCUUCUCAUCAGCGUGUCCUUUGUUCCAAAUGUCUUCUGAAGGGAAAUCAGGAAAUGAAAGAAAAGAACAUAGCGUUUUUGUUCUGACUUUAAGGAAGGAGACGUGCCCACCGAUAGUUAUUAAUCAUCAGUAAUUUACUUAGAAACACAAGUGUCUUUAAACUGCUCUUCAGAACUGGCACAGAGACCGAUGAACUGCGCUCCCUAGAAAACAGGGGAAGUUCAGAUCCAGACCUUUCCCUUCCUUCAUCUUUCAAUAUAGGUAUAUCCUCAGUAAACUCUGGUUUGUUAAGCAAUAAAUUCAAGAUUCAAAUACAGUGGAACUGCUGCAGUGCCUCAGCAUCGCUACCUUCAUGUGCUAAGUGCUGCAGAUUCACUAGGGCAUAGAGGUGCUGCUCUGCUGAAAUACCACUUGUGGUCCUACUUGAAGUCUUUGUUACAGAAAGCCACGAAGCAAUCUGCGGGUACAGUGAGGUAACCUAAUGUGGGUAGGCCAGCCCCACAGGAAGCUGUUCACUGAAUGAGCAGAGCUGGGAAAUACUUCCAUGUGGACGUAUCUGACAAGUGCAGAGAUCAGUGAUGCCCUUUUCAAGUUCUGAAGAAGUCUACUGCAAGAAGCAAGCAGAUAGUACUCUUGGCUACUUUGGGCUACAGAAUAACUUUGAUUUUUCCAGCCUCUACUGCCUUCGUUUCUGAGCUGUGAUUUCACCAGUUGUUUUCAAUGCCUGGGUCUUUUAGAUUACUUCAGCAAUGAUGGGAAACUGAAAAAUUCUAGAGAGCUGUGAGAUGGUGAAAACUUGUUCACAGAAAGCGAAUAGGUAUCCAAGGGACAACAUGGCCUUGCAAGAGAUACAAAACAAAACAAGGAGAGGAAAGGAAGAGAGAGCCAAAUGAAAAAUCCUGAAUGACAACAUCUCCAAGUAUCACAGCAGUACCUUCUAAAGCUGGAAGAUAAAGCUGAUGAGGUGGUUACCAUGGCUACAGAAGCGGCAUAUUUGAAUGAAAAUUGAUUUUAAGCUUUUAAAUGCUAAUUGCAUCUGUGAAAAGGUGACAUUUGAAAUAUCUUUUUCUUCUCCCCCUCCCCUCCCCUGCUUUGCAUUGUACAACGAGUGAAAGAAGAGGGUGACAAGUGUGACAACACAGAGUUAAGUUAAAACACUGAUGCAGUCUUCAACACUAAAGUAUGUCGUACCAUUUGCUUGUGCAGUAAUAAAAGUAAUAAGCGAACACAUAUAUAGAUCACAGUAUCUGAGGAGCAAAAACUGUAUCUAUAACCCAAGUAAUACAUUUUUCAUCAUAUUGUGAAAAAUUAAACAGCCUUAUUUAAAUUAAUCAUCAGACCAAUUUUUUUCUGGUA